rnacentral:rRNA from 1 species
CCUACGGGAGGCAGCAGUGGGGAAUAUUGGGCAAUGGAGGCAACUCUUACCCAGCAAUGCCGCGUGAAUGAAGAAGGUCUUCGGGUGGUAAAGUCCGUUAAUGGGGGACGAAAAAGAUGACAGUACCCAAGGAAUAAGCCGCGGCCAACUACGUGCCAGCAGCCGCGGUAAGACGGAGGGGGCAAGCGUUGUGCGGAAUGACUGGGCGUAAAGGGUGUGUAGGCGGUGUAGCAAGUUAGAAGUGAAAUACCUAGAGCUUAACUCAGGUGCUGCUUCUAAAACUGCUGUACUUGAGUGCGGUAGAGGAAAGUGGAAUGCCUGGUGUAGCGGUGGAAUGCGUAGAUAUUAGGAGGAACAUCAGUGGCGAAGGCGACUUUCUGGCCCGUAACUGACGCUGAGGCACGAAAGUGAGGGGAGCAAACAGGAUUAGAUACCCUUGUAGUC